ACUUGAUUAUGAGGACACUUACGCAGAAGGUCCCUAAAACGCUCCCAAGUCUCAAAGAAUUGCUCACUAUUUAUCUUUGAAAAACUAGUGAUAACCUUUCUAAGCU